rnacentral:ncRNA from 2 species
AGCGGCCGUCGGUGCAGAUCUUGGU